AGAAGCAUCAGAACCCAACCUACAGGCAGGGAAAAGGGAGAUGGGACAGGACAGGAGAAGGCAGAAGCCUGUGGUAACCUGUAACAGGGCUCCUCACCUGCUCUCUUAGUGUUGGAGAAGCCUCUGGUGGAGUCCAAGGUAUCUGAGGGCUUUGUGGGGCCAGGCAGGGGCUGCAAAGAGAAACACCACAUAGGAAGGGGCUCUCAGGCCAAGGAACUCACCUGCCUGGCAUCCCCACCUCUGGCCCAACUCACCUUGCUGAUGACCCGCCCCCGAGAGCUGGAGGGUACCGGCGACAUGGGGGGCUCAGGGCUAGGAGCUUCUAAAGGGUGUGGAAGUGGCUCAGAGCUGACUGGAGCCUCCACAGCAGGACACUGGGCUCCAGCAGGCUCCAGCAGAGGCUCUGGAGAGGCACUGGUGGGUGAAUUGUGGGGGGAAGCAGGUGAGCUGGGCCUGCCCCCAGGCGGGGCCCUCAGCAGGAGUGUCACUGUGGUCACAUCCUGGCUGGUGUCCUCUGGGGUUGGGGUUGGCUCGAGUACUUCUGUCUGCUGUUCCUGCUGCUCUGGCUCUGGCACCUGCAGAAGACACACAGGAUGCAACCAAGGUUUCUCUGACUCUGAAUGCUACCCCCACCCACAGAGGACCAAGCUGAUAGAGCAGGCCAUGCAAAGCAGAGGGGCUGGGCAUGGCUUCCCGCGGGCACACCUGCAUAAGGAAGGCUGGUCAGUGCCAAAGGUGGUUUAACAAGGACCAGAGUCUAAUGCCAGUGAUUGGCCAUAACAGGAAAUUUGUUGGGGACUCCCAUUCCUAAAGGACCCUCCAACCCGGAACUCUAGCUUCAAUCUAGCUAAUCAGACAGUACAGUUGUGCAGAACUAGGCAGCUAGCGUACUCUGCUGGCCAUCUGUGGAAAUGGUAUGUUCUUAAAGUCUCAUGCUAUCUGAAGAAUAGAGGGGACACUGAGCACUACUUAGAGGGGCCUGACAGGCACUCCCUGGAGAGCCAAGGGUCCAAUGUGUGUGCUGCCUGCCUCCUGCUGUCCUCUCGGGGGCCACUACUGGGAAGUCUACUGCACAGUCUCCCAGCCAAGGUGGCAGCUGGAAGGACAGGGCAAGCUCCUGUCGCUGCAGCUCCCGGAUGGCUGAGCGGAUCCGCCGCCGUUCUGCCAGAUCUGCAGUGACCUCCAGCUGCAAUGUAGGUGGGAGUAAGGGGUGGGCAUUCUGUAAGGGGCAAAGGACUGGCACCAACUGCCCACAGCUCUGCCAGGGGCACAAUGGAUGGCUUGUCUCCAGUCUCUCUACCCUAAGCCUUCCACGUGCCUGCCUCCCACUCAGGGUUUUUAGGGGCGACCUCGCUCAUGACACCAAAGAUCCUGAGAAGCCCACUGUGCAGUGUGAUGCCGAGGGCCCCCUUCUGUGAGUGCACAGCCUGUAGCCACCGACCCAAGCCAGGUGCCAAGCAGCCAGGCACUCCUUUGUGGGACUUGACAUCUGCUCUCCGGGAGCUUUCAUUAACCCUUUAGACCAGGGAGCCACAGCAGGAAGAGUGUAGUCACCCUUCUUCUCUGAGCUACCGACAAGAGUCCAAGGAACGAGGAGGGUGAUUCAGGUAGCUGAAGUCUGACUAGGUGAUCUACCUAGUCAGAGUAGCAGGGCCCUGCCGGGAAAGAUGUGAGACAGGGAAUCUGAGGCAGUAGCCUAGCUCCCUGCUUGGCAGUGAGUUAGUUACCUUUCCCCUUUUACUGACUAUGGCCUAGUCCUAGCCACCAUGGAAGAAGUCAAGACCCAGGGUGGGAAGGGCUGGACCCCUAGUGAGUGACCCAAAGUGUCAGUCCCAGCACUAAAUCCCAUUUGCCACUUGCUUGGUUUUUUUGAGACAGGGUUUCUCUGUGUAGCCCAGGCUGUUCUGGAACUUGCUCUGUAGACCAUGCUGGCCUAGAACCCAGAGACCCGCCUGCCUCUGUCUUCCAAAUGCUUGGAGUUAAGGGACGGACACACCAUCUCAGCCAGCUUCUACCGUCCUCCCUUCAAGGUUUAGUUUUAUUCAUGUGUUUGCAUGUAUCUGUAUGAGUGGAUGCCAUGUGCACGUGGGUGACUGUGGAGGCCAGAAGAAGGCAUCAGGUCUCUGGAGCCAGAGUUACCAAGUGCUGGGACUUUCGGAAGAGGAGCUAAGGCUCUUAAUUAACUGAUGGUCCCAUCCAGACCUACUCUUGAUACAUUACUUUGAUACAUCAUUUUUAUCUGAUAAGAGGGAAUUGAGUGUCUUGUUUAUGGCUUGCCUGAGACAAGAUAGCUGUGGUGUUGAGGGCUCUCUGUCAUGGUGGGGAACUUUGAGGUCCUGUACCAGAGCCCCCUUUAGCCUGCUCUAGAAAUGUCAAAGUCAAAGGAAACCUUAUUACAACCAAGAGAUCUAUGCUCACUUCUCACAGAACAUGUGGAGAUUGGUGGCCUGAGGAGACAGCUGGUCCAGACUGGUCCGGAGGGUCAAGAUCCAGAGAUACAAUGACUUUGUCUCAUGGGUCCUCAUUUCCAACCCCCAGGAAAAAAAAAAUACAAGAUAGGAACUUGGCCAUUUCUACAACCCCUGGGUACCUCAGUGUCUCCAUUUGGAAAUUUGGAUCCUCCUAAUGAAUUCUCUAAGUGGAAGGGGGUGGCUGGGCCUCACUCUGCUGGCCACUCCCUGGCAUCCUUCCUUUUGGGACUGUGGGCAAAGCUCUGACAAGUGUCCCUGCUGUGUCCUGUGUUCCACGCCCUCUCAAACACCAAAGGUCAGACCACAGUGUUUCUACUGUGUCUAGAGUUCCUCACCCUCUCGGUCACCCCCACUGUGUGUGGAGGGGACUGCGGGAGGGAGGGAAGGAAAUACAAAGAACUAUUGUCCGCCAGGGGGAAGGGGAUGGUUUCCGAAACUGCCUAGUGAAAUUCUCCUGGGAGGAAAGAGGGUGCUUCCUCCUCCGGUGGGAGGAUGGAGGGGGAGGGGACUGAGGCUCGGGUGCUUUCUACUCCGGCUGCUGGGGGGCAUCUAUUCAACCCAACGUUCCUAGCUUCAGGCUCUCCCUCCUGCACAAAAAGUGAUUCUCCUGUAGUUCCUCCCUCACUCCCAGACCAGAGCUGCCCCCUGUGUUGAUAGCAAUUGGGGAAAUGCCUCGCCAGGGGGCGCUAAAAGCCCGCAGGCUGCAGCCACCAGCACAGGGCUCACUCACGCCCCACCCACCCAGUCUCCAGCCGGGCGUCCCAGCUAGGAGCCAGGCAGGAAACCCUCCGCCACCGCCGGCUUUAAGGUCCCAUCUGCAAAGGAAGGGAGGUUCACAGCACCUAAGCUGCUUCCCUAGGUCACCCGGACGGGAGGUGGCAGACGUGCAAACACGUGGCAGGGGGCACAGGCAGCGUGCCUGUCCUUAGGUGCCCCUGUCCCGUGCAGCCCACCACCCCGUCCUCAGGAAUGUGCGGGAGCGGGACCGGAAGCAACUGCGGCUCCCCCAGUCAGCUGGGCACAGCUUUCCCAUAUAAGGCCGGGCCCCACGGGGAGGAGCCGGGCCCGGGACCGUUCCUGCCACGAAGCCGGAGGGUGGGACCCUCACAGCUCCAGGCACAGCAAUGGCGCGCACGGGCGCGGUGAAGCCCGGGGCUGGAGUGGGCCUGGGGCCGUGGAGCCGAGAAAGGGUUGGGUCUCCCUUGUCCUUUGCUCCCAGGCCCGGGGCUGGGAGGAAGCGCGUCCGGCAACUACUGCUUCUGUUUCUCCUCUAACAGCACGUUUCCCAGCUUCCAAACCUUGCAUGAAUGGGGUCUGAUGGGAGUGCGUGAACACUCAGCGUGGCUUUUCCUAUGGAAAACAUGAAGACUCUGACUUGAGGGACGGCGAAGGUUCUUCUAGCCUUUCCCAUGACUCUGGGUAUCCCAAGACUCCCCNNNNNNNNNNNNNNNNNNNNNNNNNCCCCCCCCCCCCGGAGUUUGGACCCUAAUAAAGCUUUUAGCCUG
ensembl:processed_transcript Gm11946 predicted gene 11946